rnacentral:rRNA from 1 species
AUUGAACGCUGGCGGCAGGCCUAACACAUGCAAGUCGAGCGGAUGAAGGGAGCUUGCUCCUGGAUUCAGCGGCGGACGGGUGAGUAAUGCCUAGGAAUCUGCCUGGUAGUGGGGGAUAACGUCCGGAAACGGGCGAAAAUACCGCAUACGCCCUGAGGGAGAGAGUGGGGGAUCUUGGGAUCUCACGCUAUCAGAUGAGUCUAGGUCGGAUUAUCUAGUUGGUGGGGUAAGGGCCUACCAAGGCGACGAUCCGUAACUGGUCUGAGAGGAUGAUCAGUCACACUGGAACUGAGACACGGUCCAGACUCCGACGGGAGGCAGCAGGGGGGAAUAUUGGACAAUGGGCGAAAGCCUGAUCCAGCCAUGCCGCGGGUGUGAAGAAGGUCUUCGGAUUGUAAAGCACUUAAAGUUGGGAGGAAGGGCAGUAAGUUAAUACCUUGCUGUUUGACGUUACCAACAGAAUAAGCACCGGCUAACUUCGUG